rnacentral:rRNA from 1 species
AUUGAACGCUGGCGGCAUGCUUUACACAUGCAAGUCGAACGGUAACAGGCCUUCGGGUGCUGACGAGUGGCGAACGGGUGAGUAAUGCAUCGGAACGUGCCCAGAGGUGGGGGAUAACGCAGCGAAAGCUGUGCUAAUACCGCAUGUGAUCUGAGGAUGAAAGCGGGGGACCAGGCAGCAAUGUUUGGCCUCGCGCCUUUGGAGCGGCCGAUGUCAGAUUAGGUAGUUGGUGGGGUAAAGGCCUACCAAGCCGACGAUCUGUAGCUUGUCUGAGAGGACGACCAGCCACACUGGGACUGAGACACGGCCCAGACUCCUACGGGAGGCAGCAGUGGGGAAUUUUGGACAAUGGGCGCAAGCCUGAUCCAGCAAUGCCGCGUGCGGGAAGAAGGCCUUCGGGUUGUAAACCGCUUUUGUACGGAACGAAAAGGCUCUGGCUAAUACCUGGGGCUGAUGACGGUACCGUAAGAAUAAGCACCGGCUAACUACGUG